rnacentral:rRNA from 1 species
UACGGAGGGUGCAAGCGUUAUCCGGAUUUACUGGGUUUAAAGGGUGUGUAGGCGGGCUUUUAAGUCAGUGGUGAAAUCUCCGGGCUCAACCUGGAAACUGCCAUUGAUACUAUUAGUCUUGAAUUUUGUUGAGGUAGGCGGAAUAAGUCAUGUAGCGGUGAAAUACAUAGAUAUGACUUAGAACACCAAUUGCGAAGGCAGCUUGCUAAACAAAUAUUGACGCUGAGGCACGAAAGCGUGGGGAUCAAACAGG